CAGUCGCCGCGGGAAUACGUAGGGUGCAAGCGUUAAUCGGAAUUACUGGGUGUAAAGCGUGCGCAGGCGGUUCGUUAAGACAGAUGUGAAAUCCCCGGGCUUAACCUGGGAACUGCAUUUGUGACUGACGGGCUAGAGUAUGGCAGAGGGGGGUAGAAUUCCACGUGUAGCAGUGAAAUGCGUAGAGAUGUGGAGGAAUACCGAUGGCGAAGGCAGCCCCCUGGGCCAAUACUGACGCUCAUGCACGAAAGCGUGGGGAGCAAACAGGAUUAGAUACCCCAGUAGUCCCUGUCUCUUAUAC
rnacentral:rRNA from 1 species